UACGUAGGGGGCUAGCGUUGUCCGGAUUUAUUGGGCGUAAAGAGCGUGUAGGCGGCCAGAUAGGUCUGCUGUGAAAACUCGAGGCUCAACCUCGAGACGCCGAUGGAAACCAUCUGGCUAGAGUCCGGAAGAGGAGAGUGGAAUUCCCGGUGUAGCGGUGAAAUGCGCAGAUAUCGGGAAGAACACCUAUGGCGAAGGCAGCUCUCUGGGACGGUACUGACGCUGAGACGCGAAAGCGUGGGGAGCGAACAGG
rnacentral:rRNA from 1 species